AGGAACUAAUUGCAACAAUUUCGCAUUAAAUUAAAACAAAUUUUAAAAUUUUGCUAAAUUUCUCAAAAAAAUGGCAAGGGGUACCCCUUAUGAAAUUUUCGAGUGGAAAAUUUUUUUGAAAUUUUUUUCUGAUUUUUUAUUCUUUUUUUAAUUUAAAGCAAUAUUUGAGUGAAAAGAAACUUAUUGCAACAAAUUCGCAAUAAAAUAUAUCACAUUUAAAAAUUUUGCUGAAUUGCAGAAAAAUGAGGAACAUUUUACAUUUUCUCAAACAGGGUAAGGAACUUGGUUUCUCGAAUAACUUCUGGCACAGACAUCUGAGGGCAUGGCCGUCCACGAAGAAAAUGUAGCCAUUGAUGCCAUCUAUCGACCACAGGCAAAGAUUGGAGAUCCGUUAGAUACCGACCGAGUUAUAGGCAAAACUUGGUGCGAAAAAGAGGAAAAUUUUACAUUUUCUCAAACAGGGUAAGGAACUUGGUUCCUCGCAUAACUUCUGGCACAGACAUCUGAGGGCAUGGCCGUCCAAGAAGAAAAUGUAGCCAUUGAUGCCAUCUAUCGACCACAGGCAAAGAUUGGAGAUCCGUUAAAUACCGACAGAGUUAUAGGCAAAACUUGGUGCGAAAAUGAGGAACAUUUUACAUUUUCUCAAACAGGGUAAGGAACUUGGUUUCUCGAAUAACUUCUGGCACAGACAUCUGAGGGCAUGGCCGUCCAAGAAGAAAAUGUAGCCAUUGAUGCCAUCUAUCGACCACAGGCAAAGAUUGGAGAUCCGUUAGAUACCGACCGAGUUAUAGGCAAAAUUUGGUGCGAAAAUGAGGAACAUGUUACAUUUUCUCAAACAGGGUAAGGAACUUGGUUCCUCGCAUAGCUUCUGGCACAGACAUCUGAGGGCAUGGCCGUCCACGAAGAAAAUGUAGCCAUUGGUGCCAUCUAUCGACCACAGGUUAAAGAUUGGCGAUCCGUUGGAUACCGACCGAGUUAUAGGCAAAACUUGGUGCGAAAAUGAGCCUUAGUGGAUUGACAGAUUUAUAGAUUUUUUCAA